CGAGGACAGAGAGCGCAGGAUACCAUAGUGACGUCACAAAGCCGUCUCACAAUGCUCCCGAUCUCGGAUAAGAAGUUCCGUUCUUCAUCACGGACUCUGGCAUUUAAUGGCCCCACGCCGUCUUUGACGAUCUGGGAAUCGUGGUAUUGUACAUGGCCAUUACUGAGGACAGAGGGAGCAGGAUUCCAUAGUGACGUCACAAAGCCGUCUCACAAUGUACCUCCAACAUUGGUGUAACUGAACAAUAUAUUCUCUCGAGCGAAGAAGCAUGUUGGAAUUUCAAGGGUUCAUCUAAAUAUUAACUCAUAUUCUUAGCGCUAAUGAAAAUGUUCUUUUUAUCCUUGGAGGUCAUGAAAGACGUAUAUAACUGUAAAUGUCAUCAUCCGAAUCCCAGGGAAGGUCCGCGGUUCGAAUCCCACCACGGACUCUAACAUUUUAUGGCCCCUACGUAAAGAUAUAUUAAGAGGAAGAUAGAUGUAUUCACAAAUCAGCAUUAAUAGCAGUCUGAACUAAUUUGACAAUACAUAUUUCACUUUAUUGAAAAAAGUGUAUAGUGACGUGGAUGAGACGACCAAUGCAACAUGGCUUCCCACUCAGACACAGUAUAUCGUCUCCGAUAAUUGCUUGUAUAA